UAUGUGCAAUAACAUAAUAAAAUUUGGAUUACCUUAUAUUUGGACAUACACUGCAAUCACAGAUACUUACUUUUCUCUCAACAACGAACAAAGAACAGACUCAAAGCUAAACUAUAUUUCCUCUUCUACUUUUCUAAUGUAAACACUACACUACAGCAACUACAGUAGAUAAGCUGUCUAUGGCUUAAUCAGAUUUUGCGCUUGGCAAUGCACACAUGAUUCUGAACACCAUCACAUUCUUAGUUACAACAAUUUCACCAACCAUUUCCCAGUUCAGCAACUUCACAACUUGAGUAUCAUGACACUCCUCUUUCACAAGCGGCAACACAACUCUAAAAAUCUACAGCUAACUUUACACUGUUUUUCCGACAACCAACCACUUU